CCACGGUCUAGAGCAUGCGCAGUGGGAGCGACGCUGAGCAGCCGCUGUCCUUUUCCUCGGCUCCACAAAAGCACCUCAGAAGAGGAUUUGCAGAUCGGUAACUCAAACCAAAUGAUCUAAGCAUGCCUUUUUAUUCAUUCAGCACUGGAUAUUAUCGGCCUUUAAAGGAUAUUAGAAGGGGAAGAUUUUCAAACGCACCAUCACACCAGGAUCUGAUGGAGUCACCCAUUUUAUCACAAAUGGAACAUGAUCAGAUUUUAAACCUGGACGGAAAAAGCUCCAUUCACACUGGAGAGAAACUGUAUACGUGUUGUGUGUGUGGACAAGGCUUCAGCGAAUCAUCAGACCUCACAAACCACAAAUGCAGUCACACUGGGGUGAAACUGUGGAAAUGUGGGGAUUGUGGGGAGGAAUUCAUUUCCGCAUCUGGGCUGGAAACUCAUCGACGCAGUCACCCCAGUAACAGGCCAUUUACCUGCUCAGUGUGUAGGGAGGGAUUCACUCAGUCACCUAGCCUGCUGGAACGCCAGCUCAUUCACACUGACAAGAGACCAUUUCAAAGCCUAGACUGUGGAAAAUGCUUCAGAACAUCCCGGAACCUGAUGUCCCGUCAACUAGCUUGCAUUAAUGAGAGACCUUUUAAAUGCCAAGACUGUGGAAAAUGUUAUAAAACAUCUGGGAACUUGGUGUCCCAUCAACACGUUCACACUAAAGAGAGACCCUUUAAAUGCUGAGACUGGAAAAUACUAUAAAACAUCUGGGGACCUGAUGGCCCAUCAAAGUGCUCAUACGGAGGAGAGAUCGUUUAAAUGCCCAAACUGAGGGAUGUGCUUUAGAAGUCCCAGGGACCUGAUGUCGCAUCAACUUGCUCACAUUAAUGAGAGACCUUUUAAAUGCUCAGCCUGCAGGAAAUGCUACAAAACCCCCUGGACCUGAUAUCCCACCAACAUGUUCACUCUGAGAAGAGACCAUUCAGGUGCUCUCACUCUGGGACUGGGUACAGGUGAUCAUUUGACCUCACAGCACCAGCAGGUUCAUACUGGGAAGAGACCAUUCAGCUGCUCCGAGUGUGGGAGGGGAUUCACUCGGUCGUCCAACUUGCUGAGACACCAGCAAGUUCACACUGCAGAGAGAUCUUUUAAAUGCCCAGACUGCGGGAAUUGCGACAGAAGCUCCUGGGAACUGAAUUGUCAUCAACAUGUUCACACUGAGGAGAGACCUUAAAAAUGCUUAGACUAUAGGAAUCCCUGUGCAAGUUCUUGGGGAUGGUUUUAUCAUCGUGUACACAUUGAGGAGAGAUCUUUCAAAUGUCUAGUCUGUGGGAAGUACUAUCGAAGUUCUGUCGAAUUGAUGUCCCAUCAACAUUCUCACAUGAUGAGGCACCUUUUGGGAUGCUUUCAUUGUGGGACUGGGUUCAGGCGAUCAUCUCAACUCUCAGUAAACCAGUGAGUUCACACUGGGUAGAAAGCAUUUACCUGCUGCAUGUGAGGAAAAAACAGUUGGGUCACUCAUCGGCCCUGCUGAGACAGCAGAGAGUCACCCUGGGGGACAGACCGUUCACCUGCUCUGUGUGGGGGAAGGAAUUCACUCACUUAUCAAUCCUGCUGAGACAACAUAGAGUUCACAGAUCUCAACGGUAAUUGGACUUUGCAGUUCAUCACAUUCAGGACUGAAAGCAAAGUUUUAAUAUUCUGGAUAAAAGUCAAAUAAAUUAGCUUUGUAUUAAACACAGUGUGGCAGGUCACUGUAAGGAUGUGAUCAUGGAGUACUUGGAAGAGUCAGCAUGGCUUCACCAAGGGGGCUUCAUGCCUGACAAAUCUGAUGGAAUUCUUUGAGGAGGUACUGAACAACUUGGACGAAGGGGAGCCAGUGGAUGUAGUCUGUUGGAUUUUCAGAAGGCAUUGACUAGGUGCCAUACAGGAAGCUGCUAAAUAAGGAGAUUACUGAGAGACUGAAGCUUGGACACGUAAAGAGAUUAGAUUCGGGAGCUGAAAUUUGGGAUAAUGCACAGACUGAGAGAAUCAAAUGGUUCUGCCGUGAGGAAUCUUCAGACAAGAGCUGGAACCAGAGAGAAAGAGAGAGACGAGAGCAUUAUAAUAAACCAGCCUGUCUCCUUGUCAGUCAUUUACACACUUGCACACGCACGGGGAAAAGAAUUGUGGGUUUCAGGCUGUCUCUGGGGUUUGUACUGCAAGGGUAUGAGCUCUGGGCUGGGGGUGUGGGGGAGACAAAGGGGCAAAAAGGGGGAUGGUACUAAGUCUGAUGCCACAGAUUUCACUGUCUCCCUCUCUCUUUGCCUCCAUAUUCCCACCUACCUGUCCUUCCCACAGUUUUCUAUAAAUCUAUAAAUGCCCACAUCCUUCGCAUCUACCGCUGUUCACUCUUCCCCCACCCCUCAUAUUCCUCCCUCCCACUGUCUCGCCCCCUCCCCAGGUUUUUCAAGAACUGUUUCAUUGUUCAGUCUUUCUGCUUUCCAGGUUUUCCCACUCACCUCUCCACAACACUUCUCUCUCUCUCUCUCACAUUGGCCUGUGUGAUCUUGCUGUUCCUGCCUGAGGGUCAUUCUGUCUGCAUCAUCCUGUCUCCAUCACUCGUUCUGCAUGGUAUCUCUCUGUCUGCUCUUCCCUCCCAAUUUUUUUUUUUUUUUCUCUGUCCCUUCUGUCUUUCCCACUCUCUGUAUCUGUCCUUUCUCGUCCUCUCCACAGAAUUUCUAUCUUUCUCCUAUCUCCCUCUCCCCUCCUCUCUCUCCGCCCCCUCUCUCUCUAUCUCCCUCGUGUUCUCAAUGGGAUUUCUGCCUCUCUUCCUGACUAUUUCUCUUUCUCUCUUUCUGUAUCUUCCUACGUCCGUUCUCCCCUUCGCCAUCCAUCUAUCCCUCCAUUUUCCUCUUGGAUUCUGUCUCUCCAUCUCCCUCUCUGUCCUUCAAUGUCUCUUUAUGGGUAAUGCCAGAGGAUCUUCCUGGUCCUUGACCCACCUGCAUUUUGCACCAUCGUCCUUUGUCUAAACUGAAAGGUGGAAGGGGUUGUUAGAUAAAACAUCUUUCUCGGUGAGGGGGGGAAGAGGGCCUGCCUGGGGACUGGGAUCUUGCUGUGCAGUGAGGCAGUCAGUGAACAGGCCUGAGUGUCUCUGGCCAUACUCCCUGGGGCGUCGAGCCCCUGGGGUGGGGUCAGGGAUCCAGUAAGGGUCAGGGGGGGAUUUGGGUGUUGCUCAUGGGGAGAGAUACAGUCGGGUAUCUGUACAUAGUGGAGGGAUCACAGGGAAUGAAGAAAGAGGGUGACGCUGCCCGGGGAGCUAUCAGAAACUGUGAGGCUGAAAAUUUUUGUUGGGAUAAAAUAUGGGGUAAAAGUUGGGGGCAAAUAUUUAAAUGGGUGCAAAAAUUUGUGGGGGGCAAUAUUUGAGAUGACAUAAAGUGGGGAGGUUGCAAAAUUGGGAUGGAGAGCAAACUUUUGGAGAACAGAAAUUGGGAAAUGCAAUAGUUGAGGGGGCAAUAUUUGGUGGGUGGGGCAUCAAAAUAUUUUUGUAGGCGGAGUGCAAUAUCUGGCAGGGGCAACAAUGUUUUCGGCAGCACAAGAUUUCGGGAUUUCAGGGCACAAUGCUGUAAGGGUGUGACAAAAUUGUAAUCCCAUGUAAUCCCCUGAUGUUCACCUGUGAAAUGGAUUGAUGUUCAUUCUCAGAAACUAAUUAAAAGGAAACUCCCCGUCUUUAAUGGUUACCUAGUCCCACUCACACCUUGUGUUAGCCUGUGUGAAAAUACUGUGCUCACCUGUGGGAAAAAAUCGUGUUUACAGUGAUACAUUGGUCAUGUUGAUGUGUGUCUCCAUAUGUGUCCGUGUGUAUGUUUCUGGCUGCAAUGAGACUCACAGGAGAGAAGUUUGAAUGAAUGAAUGAAUUAAAAACUGAUGAGUCAA